UCGCCAGACUCCUACGGGAGGCAGCAGUGGGGGAUAUUGCACAAUGGGGGAAACCCUGAUGCAGCGACGCCGCGUGAGUGAAGAAGUAAUUCGUUACGUAAAGCUCUAUCAGCAGGGAAGAAAAUGACAGUACCUGACUAAGAAGCCCCGGCUAACUACGUGCCAGCAGCCGCGGUAAUACGUAGGGGGCAAGCGUUAUCCGGAUUUACUGGGUGUAAAGGGAGCGCAGACGGCAGUGCAAGUCUGGAGUGAAAGCCCGGGGCCCAACCCCGGAACUGCUCUGGAAACUGUGCGGCUAGAGUACUGGAGGGGCAGGCGGAAUUCCUAGUGUAGCGGUGAAAUGCGUAGAUAUUAGGAGGAACACCAGUGGCGAAGGCGGCCUGCUGGACAGUAACUGACGUUGAGGCUCGAAAGCGUGGGGAGCAAACAGGAUUAGAUACCCCAGUA
rnacentral:rRNA from 1 species